GUGCACGCUGGCGGUAGGCCUCACACCUGCCAGUCGAACGGCAGCACAGUAAGCGCUUGCUCUUCCGGGUGGCGAGUGGCGGACGGGUGAGGAAUACAUCGGAAUCUACUUUUUCGUGGGGGAUAACGUAGGGAAACUUACGCUAAUACCGCAUACGACCUACGGGUGAAAGCAGGGGAUCUUCGGACCUUGCGCGAUUGAAUGAGCCGAUGUCGGAUUAGCUAGUUGGCGGGGUAAAGGCCCACCAAGGCGACGAUCCGUAGCUGGUCUGAGAGGAUGAUCAGCCACACUGGAACUGAGACACGGUCCAGACUCCUACGGGAGGCAGCAGUGGGGAAUAUUGGACAAUGGGCGCAAGCCUGAUCCAGCCAUACCGCGUGGGUGAAGAAGGCCUUCGGGUUGUAAAGCCCUUUUGUUGGGAAAGAAAAGCAGCAGGUUAAUACCCCGCUGUUCUGACGGUACCCAAAGAAUAAGCACCGGCUAACUUCGUG
rnacentral:rRNA from 1 species